rnacentral:rRNA from 1 species
GUGGGGAAUUUUGGACAAUGGGCGCAAGCCUGAUCCAGCAAUGCCGCGUGUGUGAAGAAGGCCUUCGGGUUGUAAAGCACUUUUGUCCGGAAAGAAAUCUCCUGGGUUAAUACCUCGGGGGGAUGACGGUACCGGAAGAAUAAGCACCGGCUAACUACGUGCCAGCAGCCGCGGUAAUACGUAGGGUGCGAGCGUUAAUCGGAAUUACUGGGCGUAAAGCGUGCGCAGGCGGCUAUGCAAGACAGAUGUGAAAUCCCCGGGCUCAACCUGGGAACUGCAUUUGUGACUGCAUGGCUAGAGUGCGUCAGAGGGAGGUGGAAUUCCGCGUGUAGCAGUGAAAUGCGUAGAGAUGCGGAGGAACACCGAUGGCGAAGGCAGCCUCCUGGGAUGACACUGACGCUCAUGCACGAAAGCGUGGGGAGCAAACAGGAUUAGAAACCCGGGUAGUCC